rnacentral:rRNA from 1 species
AGCUAAUACCGCAUAACGUCGCAAGACCAAAGAGGGGGACCUUCGGGCCUCUUGCCAUCGGAUGUGCCCAGAUGGGAUUAGCUUGUUGGUGGGGUAACGGCUCACCUAGGCGACGAUCCCUAGCUGGUCUGAGAGGAUGACCAGCCACACUGGAACUGAGACACGGUCCAGACUCCUACGGGAGGCAGCAGUGGGGAAUAUUGCACAAUGGGCGCAAGCCUGAUGCAGCCAUGCCGCGUGUAUGAAGAAGGCCUUCGGGUUGUAAAGUACUUUCAGCGGGGAGGAAGGGAGUAAAGUUAAUACCUUUGCUCAUUGACGUUACCCGCAGAAGAAGCACCGGCUAACUCCGUGCCAGCAGCCGCGGUAAUACGGAGGGUGCAAGCGUUAAUCGGAAUUACUGGGCGUAAAGCGCACGCAGGCGGUUU